UAGCGGGAGGCCUAACACAUGCAAGUCGAACGGGAUUGAGAGCUUGCUCUCAUGAGAGUGGCGCACGGGUGAGUAACGCGUAUGCAACCUACCUAUAACUGAGGGAUAGCCCAUAGAAAUGUGGAUUAAUACCUCAUAGUUCUAUUGGAUCGCAUGAUCUGACAGAUAAAACUCCGGUGGUUAUAGAUGGGCAUGCGUGACAUUAGCUAGUUGGUAAGGUAACGGCUUACCAAGGCUACGAUGUCUAGGGGUUCUGAGAGGAUGAUCCCCCACACUGGUACUGAGACACGGACCAGACUCUUUUGGUAGGCAGCAGUGAGGAAUAUUGGUCAAUGGGCGCAAGCCUGAUCCAGCAAUGCCGCGUGAGUGAAGAAGGCCUUCGGGUUGUAAAGCUCUUUUA
rnacentral:rRNA from 1 species